rnacentral:rRNA from 1 species
AGAGUUUGAUCCUGGCUCAGGAUGAACGCUGGCGGCGUGCCUAAUACAUGCUCGAACGGUGUGCAGUAAUGUACACAGUGGCGACCGGGUGCGUAACACGUAGCUGACCUGCCCCUCAGCGGGGGAUAACAGUUCGAAAGGACUGCUAAUACCGCAUACGCUCGCGUCUUUCAGAAAGACGCGCGGAAACUUCUGGGGUUGAGGGAGGGGGCUGCGGCCCAUCAGGUAGUUGGCGAGGUAACGGCUCACCAAGCCGACGACGGGUAGGGGGCCUGAGAGGGUGGUCCCCCACACUGGGACUGACAAACGGCCCAGACUCCUACGGGAGGCAGCAGUAAGGGAUAUUGCGCAAUGGGCGAAAGCCUGACGCAGCAACGCCGCGUGGAGGAUGACGGCCUUCGGGUCGUAAACUCCUUUGGUGGGGGACGAGCAAGGACGGUACCCCACAAACAAGUCACGGCUAACUACGUGCCAGCAGCCGCGGUAAAACGUAGGUGGCGAGCGUUAUCCGGAUUUACUGGGCGUAAAGCGUGUGCAGGCGGGUUGUCAAGUGGUGUAUGAAAUCGCCCGGCUCAACCGGGUGGGGUUAUGCCAGACUGACAGCCUGGAGUUCGGGAGAGGGGCGUGGAAUUCCGGGUGUAGUGGUGAAAUGCCUAGAGAUCCGGAGGAACCCCAGAGGCGAAGGCGGCGCCCUGGCCCGACACUGACGCUCAGACACGACAGCAUGGGGAGCGAACGGGAUUAGAAACCCCGGUAGUCCAUGCCGUAAACGAUGCCAACUAGGCGCCGGGGGUCUCAACCCCCUCGUUGCCGUAGCCAACGCGCUAAGUUGGCCGCCUGGGGAGUACGACCGCAAGGUUAAAACUCAAAGGAAUUGACGGGGGCCCGCACAAGCAGCGGAGCGUGUGGUUUAAUUCGAGCCUACACGAAGAACCUUACCUGGGUUGGACAAGGCGCCAGUAGGGAGACGAAAGUUGACCGACCCGCAAGGGAGGCGUCUCAGGUGCUGCAUGGCUGUCGUCAGCUCGUGCCGUGAGGUGUUAGGUUAAGUCCUGUAACGAGCGCAACCCCCGGGUCUAGUUACACGUGGUCUAGACCGACUGCCCGUGACAAGCGGGAGGAAGGUGGGGAUGACGUCAAGUCAGCAUGGCCUUUAUAUCCAGGGCUACACACACGCUACAAUGGCCGGCACAAUGGGUCGCCAAGCCGCAAGGCGGAGCCAAUCCACCAAAGCCGGUCUCAGUUCAGAUUGAGGGCUGCAACCCGCCCUCAUGAAGUCGGAGUUGCUAGUAACCGCCGGUCAGCUAUACGGCGGUGAAUACGUUCCCGGGCCUUGUACACACCGCCCGUCACGUCAUGGGAGCUGGUCACGCCUGAAGCCAGUCGGCUAACCGCAAGGAGGCAACUGUCCAAGGCAGGGCCGGUGACUGGGACGAAGUCGUAACAAGGUA